GAAAUAAAGUAUUGAGGAAUAGGUGGUAGUUAAGGUAUAGGGUCAAGGUUUCCCCCUGACAUUAAGUCCAGUCGUGUCUGACUCUGGGGGUUGGUGCUCAUCUCCAUUUCUAAGCCGAAGAGCCAGCAUUGUCCGUAGACUCCUCCAAGGUCAUGUGGCCACUGGCAUGACUGCAUGGAGUGCCGUUACCUUCUUGCCGGAGCAGUAGCUAUUCAUCUACUCUCAUUUGCAUGUUUUCGAACUUCUGAGUUGGCAGAAGCUGGGGCUUUAGAUAAUCUGUGGAAGAGGCCUAAGUGAAGCCUAACUCUGCCUGUCCCCUGGGCUGAGUCGGUUGCUAGAAGACCAAGUGGGCGGAGCUUAUACUUCUAACUGGUAGCAAUUGGAUAAAAACAAUUAUUCCUCUCCCUCUAAUUAGAACUUUAUUUUUCUUUUCUUUUUGUUGUAUCAACCUAGAGCCGUGGAUGAUGGGUUGUGUUGUGAAAUUUUGAGGUUGGGGGGCCUGUAGUUUUGUUGUUUUGUCCACUGCCCUGAUGCCAUCACUCUUUUAUAUAUAUACUAGCUGUGCCCGGCCACGCGUUGCUGUGGCGAAGUAUGGUGGUAUGGGAAAUAAAGUAUUGAGGAAUUGGUGGUAGUUAAGGCAAAGGGUCCCCUGGGCUGAGUGGGUUGCUAGGAGACCAAGGGAGCGGAGCUUAGCCUUCUAACUGGCAGAAAUUGGAUAAAAACAAUUAUUCCUCUCCCUCUAAUGAGGACUUUAUUUUUCUUUUCUUUUUGUUGUAUCAACCUAGAGGCAUGGAUGAGGGGUUGUGCUGUCAAUUUUCGAGGUUGUGGGGUGUUUACUUUUGUUGUUUUGUCCGCUGCCGUGAUGCCAUCACUCUUUUAUAUAUAUAGAUAGAUAAAUACCAUUAUUAUUAUUAUUAUUAUUAUUAUUAUUAUUAUUAUUAUUAUUAUUAUUAUUAUUAUGCAUUCCUUGGUGGCAGAAAGGGGUGGGUCUGGAUGCCCUUUGGGGCUCCCUCCCAGCUCUAUUAUUACCAUUAUUAUGGUGGCGCCUUCCUUGGUGGCAGAAAGGGGUCCGUCUAGAUGCCCUUUGGGGGGCCCUUCCAUCUCUCUGGCCCCAAAUGAGGCCCCCGAGGCCUGCCUGCCUCCCCCGCCCCCUCUGAGGGACUACUUUUCCUUCCGCCGCCGUCUCUUCCCUCAGCUCCCGGCCCAGUCAACCCCAGCAGGCCUAACCUUCUUGACGGCCGGCUGGAAGGCGAAGUCCCCGGCCUCCUUGAGGUCCAGCCAGAUCAUCGGCAUCCGCGGCACGGCCUCCAUCCCGCCUCAGGCCUUCUCCUCAGGCGGGAGAGCGGGAGGAACCCGAAUCCAAGGCCGAGGCGGCGGAGGGAGACGCCAGAGUGAGCUCAGCGCCAGGCCGCUUCCGGAAAGAGCCGAGUCCAGCCGGAUCCGUCUCCGCCACGCCCACUCGAAAAUCCGGAAGUGCUGGACUUUGUGCCGCGGGGGCGACUGGGAAAUGGAGUUCCAGCCUUGGAGAAGCGUUGGGCCUACUUCCGCUGUAGGCCAGAGAUUGAGAGUACUGACACUUCACUCCUGUUGAUGCUGCCUGGAAUCGCAUUGGCUUUUUAAGCUGCUGCACCACACUGUCGGCUCAUGUUCAGCUUGAAGUCUCCUACGACUCCUAGAUCCUUUUUGCAUGGACUGUUUCCAAGGCAGGUGUCACCCAUCCUUUCAAAUUGUUUUAUUUGAUAUGUUAAAUGGGGUUUUUAUAUAGGAAUUAUAUGUUUUAACUGAUUUUGUAUUGUGGUUGGAUGUAUUUGUAUGAAUUUUAUAUAUUGUACGCCACUCUGAAUCCCACCCAUGGGAGAAAAGCGGGAUAGAAAUGAAUAAAUAACAAUAAUAAUCCUAUAUUUGUACAUAUCAUAAGUGCGAUAUCCCACCUUUCUCUUUGUUGAUACUCAUAUUAUGCAUUAUGAAGCCUGCUCUCCAAUCUAUUCCAGUGAUUUUGAACCGUGAUCCUAUGUAUUUUCUCUUCUUCCUGAUUGGGGGUCCUCUCCAAAUAGUCAUGCUCCCCUCCUGAGCAUCAUUGAAGGAGUUGUCAAUGGCUGGAAUCACUGGGUUGCUGUGAGUUUUCUGGGCUGUAUGACCACAUUCCAGAAGCAUUCUUUCCUGACGUUUCACCCACAUCUAUGGCAGGCAUCCUCAGAAGUUAUGAGGUCUGUUGGAAACUAGGCAAGUGGAGUUUUAUAUCUAUGGAAUAAUGUCCAGGAUGAGAGAAAGAACUCUUGUCUGCUUGAAGCAAAUGUGAAUGUGACCAUUGGUCAUCUUGAUUAGCAUUGAAUGGCCUUGCAGCUUUAAAGCCUGACUGCUUCCUGCCUGGGGGCAUCCUUUGUUGGGAGGUGUUAGCUGGCCCUGGUUGUUUCAUGCCUGGAAUUCCUUUGUUUUCCUGAGUGUUGUUCUUUAUUUACUGUCCUGAUUUUAUAAUUUUUUUAAUACUGGGAGCCAGAUUGUGUUCAUUUUCAUGGUUUCCUCCUUUCUGUUGAAAUUGUCCACCUGUUUCUUGUGGAUUUCAGUGCCUUCUCUGUGUAGUCUGGCGUGGUGGUCGUCAGAGUCCAGCAUUUCUGUGUUCUCCAAUAAUAUGCUCUGAGGAUGCCUGGCAGAUA
rnacentral:lncRNA from 11 species